rnacentral:rRNA from 1 species
UUGGAGGGCAAGUCUGGUGCCAGCAGCCGCGGUAAUUCCAGCUCCAAUAGCGUAUAUUAAAGUUGCUGCAGUUAAAAAGCUCGUAGUUGAAUUUCGGGACCAAUAUGUCGGUCGUGCCUCGGUACGUACUGGCAUCGUUGGUUUCUCCCUUCUGACGAACCAUGAUGUCAUUCAUUUGGUGUCGUGGGGAAUCAGGACUGUUACUUUGAAAAAAUUAGAGUGUUUAAAGCAGGCUCACGCUUGAAUACAUUAGCAUGGAAUAAUGAAAUAGGACGUUUGAUUCUAUUUUGUUGGUUUCUAGGAUUGACGUAAUGAUUAAUAGGGAUAGUUGGGGGCAUUAGUAUUCAAUUGUCAGAGGUGAAAUUCUUGGAUUUAUUGAAGACUAACUACUGCGAAAGCAUUUGCCAAGGAUGUUUUCAUUAAUCAAGAACGAAAGUUAGGGGAUCGAAGACGAUCAGAUACCGUCGUAGUCUUAACCAUAAACUAUGCCGACUAGGGAUCGGAUGAUGUUAAUUUUUUAAUGACUCAUUCGGCGCCUUACGGGAAAC